CCUUGAUCUGAAGGGAAACUGCCUGGCUUGAUUUCUCGUUUGGGCAUCUCCUUGCAGACCUUUACUCAUUGAACGUAUUCUUAUUUGCCUCAUCCUGUGGAGUAGGAGGAAUUAGAAGCCCGCAGUCCAGAUGGAACUCAGGGCCUCCCAAAAGAAGAGAUCUACCACUGAGAUGUGGAACUGAAGUUUGGAUGUUAUGACACUUUGGGGCUCACAAAGGACAGAUCUCACAAGGACUGAUAUUAAGAAUACUUCACGACUAUAUGGUGCAGACACAAGCCAGUCACCACAGAAGCYUUGUAAACAAGGAGGCCACCUGCGCCGGGGAUGGUGUGUACAUCAGGCCUGUCCCAGGAUUUGUCCUGGCUUUUCAGUCUUGCCUCCUCUGCCUCUGUGUCACACACAGAUGUGCAGGGCUGGAGUGGAUUUUCUCCUUCAGCGAGARCGAUGGGAUUGUCUGCAUUCC